GACGGGAGUGCUAAGGGCGUAUGGUGGAUGCCUAGGCUUCUAAUAGCGAUGAAAGACGUGGUAAAGCUGCGAUAAGCUUCGGGGAGGUGCCUGUCAACCUUUGAUCCGGAGAUUUCUGAAUGGGGAAACCUGACCUUUUAUAGGUCGUUACGAGCUUGACUUGUAAUGCUUACCCAGGGAAGUGAAACAUCUCAGUACCUGGAGGAAUAGAAAAAAAUAUUGAUUCCCUUAAUAGCGGCGAGCGAAAAGGGAGGAGCCCAAACCAAAUGUGCUUGCAUGUUUGGGGUUGUAAGACAAACACUUCUUAACGAGGAGAGUUACAAAAUCAAAUUUUAGUAGAAACAACUGGAAAGUUGUACCCCAGAGGGUAAUGGUCCCGUAUACGAAAAAAUUUGAUCUCUCUUGUGUUUGCUCUUGAGUAACUCGAGACACGAAUAGCUCGAGCGAAUCCGCCAGUACUAACUGGCAAGGCUAAAUAUAUUAGAAGACCGAUAGUGAACUAGUACCGUGAGGGAAAGGUGAAAAGUAGCCCGACAAGGGCGUUGAAAUAGACCUGAAACCAUAUGCCUACAAGGAAUCGGAGCGGACUUGAUCCGUGACGGUGUGCCUAUUGAAGAAUGAGCCAACGAGUUUAUAUGUACUGCAAGCUAAGGCCUUAGUCGGCUGGAGCUGUAGGGAAACCGAGUGUUAAUAGCGCGUUAGUAGUACGUAUAAGACCCGAAACCAAGCGAGCUUGCUAUGAGCAGGGUGAAGUUUAUGGAAACAUAAAUGGAGGCCCGAACCGGUAGGUAGUUCAACUCCUUCGGAUGACUUGUGGUAGGAAGU
rnacentral:rRNA from 1 species